UGGCGCUUUGAGAUGUGCGCUUUCUCUCUGCCCCCCAGGCGCUCCUUCAUCCGCCGCAUACCCAACACUCCUCCGCGCCCGACGCCCCCAUCCACCGCACAGUCCAGCAGUUCCUCUGACCCCGGAGCUUCCUCCUCCUUUGACGGCGAGAUCCAUCUCCCCUGCUGCCCUCCGGUUAGCUUUCUCCCCAUUCGGCGGCGGCGCAUUCCCUGAACAAGGUCGAUGGAUCUCGCCGGUCACCCCCGCUCUCCCGGAUCUCGGCAAGAGAGAACCGCAACUGCGCACUUCGGCGCCGCGCUCCCCGGUGCCGUGUCCUGUAAUUUUCCCUUCCGACGCCGCACUCCUCAUCACCGUGUAUUGACAAUCUCAUUCUGGCGGAGGUAUGCAACUUAUGGAUAUGGGAGGAUGUUUUGAACCAAUAUGUAUGCGAUGUCGCCAGCCUGCUUACUGCUACAUUGUCAAUCAGCAGGAAAAGGAUGGUAGUAUUGGGUACAAUGAGCAUGCAGCUUGAAAAACAAGGAUGUGACAGAUUUAGCACAAGUUGUGUUUUCAUAAGCACUUGGUGAUCAAAAAUAUAUUUCGGAUUGCCUAUUUCUUCAACACAGAGCUAGACUUUUACGAAGUGGUUUAGGUUGCAUGUCCUGUAACACAAGGUUUCAUUUUCUGAUGGCAAGUAUGGUUUGGACCGGUGUUGCAUGGGAUCAUGUAUUUACUUGCAAAGAAUUGUUCUUCUCAUGUUGUGUAUGUUUCAUAUUUUGUAUAGGGAAACCAGACUAUGUAGGAAUAUAUGAUACAAAUAAAAACAAUAUAAUUUUUUGUGCAUCUUGUUGUCAAUUGUGGCUUUGUACAACAAGUUUGGGAGAGGGUCAGAAUCUGGACAGAUGACCUUGACACCUUGUUAAGGUCUCCACUGAUGAGUCUGAUGUGCUGGACUGGUGGCAGAAGACUUUAGCAGGCUUACCAAAGAAACUAAGAAGAUUGAAGUCUGCCAUCAUGAUGUACAGAGCAUGGAAUAUUUGGAAGAUGUGGAAUUGGCAUAUUUUUUACCAUCAUCAGUUGGAUGUGGUGCAUGUCUUCGUGCGUAAGAUGGCUUGUGGUGCACCUGAGCUCUCACUACCCUCAUGAUUAGUGUUUUCUUUUUCAGAGUGUACGAGUCUUUGCUUGUUUAUGUAAUCACAACAUUGUAAGAAUUAGCUUGCUUCUCCUUAAAUGACAAUUGUAAAUUGUAAUGCUGA